rnacentral:rRNA from 1 species
AAUGAACGCUGGCGGCAUGCCUAACACAUGCAAGUCGAACGAGACCUCCGGGAGUAUUGGCUCAUGGGUGUGUAGCGCGGGGGAAGCGUCACUUCUGUUUGGAAUAACUGAGAGAAAUUGCAGCUAAUGCCGUAUAAUGUCUUCUAACCAAAGAUUUAUCGCCGAGGUAUGAGCCCGCGUAGGAUUAGGUUGUUGGUGUGGUAAUAGCCUACCAAGCCUACGAUCCUUAGCUGGUCUGAGAGGCUGAUCAGCGACACUGCGACUAGGACGCGGCCGAGAAUCUUACGCAAGGGAGCAGUGGCGAAUAGUGCAACACCGCGGGAGGGAAGAAGGAGUACUGAUGGGUGAGUGAUGAAGGCAUUAAAGUAGUAAAGCACUUUUACCCGGGAUGGUAAUGACAGUACCGGGAGAAUAAGCUCCGGCUAACUCCGUG